CAAUAAGCGGAGGAAAAGAAACCAACAGGGAUUGCCCUAGUAACGGCGAGUGAAGCGGCAACAGCUCAAAUUUGAAAUCUGGCUCUUUUAGGGUCCGAGUUGUAAUUUGCAGAGGGCGCUUUGGCUUUGGCAGCGGUCCAAGUUCCUUGGAACAGGACGUCACAGAGGGUGAGAAUCCCGUACGUGGUCGCUAGCUAUCGCCGUGUAAAGCCCCCUUCGACGAGUCGAGUUGUUUGGGAAUGCAGCUCUAAAUGGGAGGUAAAUUUCUUCUAAAGCUAAAUAUUGGCCAGAGACCGAUAGCGCACAAGUAGAGUGAUCGAAAGAUGAAAAGCACUUUGGAAAGAGAGUCAAACAGCACGUGAAAUUGUUGAAAGGGAAGCGCUUGCAGCCAGACUUGCUUGCAGUUGCUCAUCCGGGCUUUUGCCCGGUGCACUCUUCUGUAGGCAGGCCAGCAUCAGUUUGGGCGGUGGGAUAAAGGUCUCUGUCACGUACCUCUCUUCGGGGAGGCCUUAUAGGGGAGACGACAUACCACCAGCCUAGACUGAGGUCCGCGCAUCUGCUAGGAUGCUGGCGUAAUGGCUGUAAGCGGCCCGUCUUGAAACACGGACCAAGGAGUCUAACAUCUAUGCGAGUGUUUGGGUGUCAAGCCCGAGCGCGUAAUGAAAGUGAACGGAGGUGGGAACCCGCAAGGGUGCACCAUCGACCGAUCCUGAAGUUUUCGGAAGGAUUUGAGUAAGAGCAUGGCUGUUGGGACCCGAAAGAUGGUGAACUAUGCUUGAAUAGGGUGAAGCCAGAGGAAACUCUGGUGGAGGCUCGCAGCGGUUCUGACGUGCAAAUCGAUCGUCAAAUUUGGGCAUAGGGCGAAAGACUAAUCG
rnacentral:rRNA from 1 species